CAGAUUGUCGGUGAAGUGCUCAACAGCUGACAGAGGAGAAAUUCAUUGUCAAGGCAACCAAUGGACCUCGCUAUGUUGUUGGCUGCCGCAGACAACUGGAUAAAUCGCAGUUCAACCAGG